ACCCCUUGAUCCUGACUUUGACUCUUUCCUCAGGGUGCUAUUGGCAAAGCCGGGGAGCCAGGGAGAGACGUAAGUGAGGGGAACCCUGGAUGGA
rnacentral:pre_miRNA from 13 species